rnacentral:rRNA from 1 species
CAGUAGCCGCGGUAAUACGAAGGGGGCUAGCGUUGCUCGGAAUUACUGGGCGUAAAGGGCGCGUAGGCGGACAAUUAAGUCGGGGGUGAAAGCCCGGGGCUCAACCUCGGAAUUGCCUUCGAUACUGGCUGUCUUGAGUGUGAGAGAGGUGUGUGGAACUCCGAGUGUAGAGGUGAAAUUCGUAGAUAUUCGGAAGAACACCAGUGGCGAAGGCGACACACUGGCUCACUACUGACGCUGAGGCGCGAAAGCGUGGGGAGCAAACAGGAUUAGAUACCCCAGUAGUCCCUGUCUCUUAUAC